GUCUAACUAACGAGUCUGAAAUAGGACAAAACGCACGUCCUGGAU
rnacentral:hammerhead_ribozyme from 1 species